CAGUACCGUGAGGGAAAGGUGAAAAGGACCCCGGGAGGGGAGUGAAAGAGAACCUGAAACCUUGUGCUUACAAGCUGUCAAAGCACGUUAAAGUGUGAUGGCGUACUUUUUGUAGAACGGUCCGGCGAGUUAUAGUAACGAGCGAGCUUAAGGCAUUCAGUGCCGGAGGCGAAGCGAGAGCGAGUCUGAAUAGGGCGUAAAGUUCGUUGCCAUAGACCCGAAACCGGGUGACCUACCCAUGAGCAGGUUGAAGUGGGGGUGAAACCCCAUGGAGGACCGAACCGACCCCCGUUGCAAUGGUGGCGGAUGACUUGUGGGUAGCGGUGAAAUUCCAAUCGAACUCGGAGAUAGCUGGUUCUCCCCGAAAUAGCUUUAGGGCUAGCGUUAUGUUAGAUUACCGGAGGUAAAGCACUGAAUGGUAGCGGGGCCGAUAAGGUUACCAACGCCUAUCAAACUAAGAAUGCCGGCUAAUUGAUGCAUAGCAGUCAGACAGUGUGAGAUAAGUUUCAUUGUCAAAAGGGAAACAGCCCAGACCUACAGCUAAGGUCCCGAAUAGAUGCUAAGUGGAAAACGAUGUGGAGUUGCGAAAACAACCAGGAUGUUGGCUUAGAAGCAGCCACUCAUUAAAAGAGUGCGUAAUAGCUCACUGGUCGAGUGACUCUGCGCGGAAAAUAUAACGGGGCUAAGCGUAACACCGAAGCUUGGGCUGCACAGCAAUGUGCGGGGUAGGGGAGCGUCGAAUAUGGGGUGAAGUCGCAGCGGAAGCAGCGGUGGACUGUAUUCGAGUGAGAAUGCCGGAAUGAGUAGCGAGAAUUAUGUGGGAAUCAUAAUGGCCGAAAAUCUAAGGUUUCUUGGGGAAGGUUCGUCCGCCCAAGGUAAGCCGGGAGCUAAGGCGAGGCCGAAAGGCGUAGUCGAUGCACAUACGGUAGAAAUUCCGUAGCCACCGAACUUUAAGUCAGAGGGACACUUUUGGAUAGCGGAACCCGGGCGUUGGUUGACCCGGGCGAAAGGGAGCGAAAAUAUAGUAGCGAAGUCCGCGAUGCUGAGAGGCGAGAAAAGCUCUGAUGGAUACUAAGGUGCCCGUACCGCAAACCGACACAGGUAGAUGAGGAGAGAAUCCUAAGGCCAACGGGAGAAGGGUUGUUAAGGAACUCGGCAAGUUGACCCCGUAACUUCGGAAUAAGGGGAGCCUCGCAAGAGGCCGCAGUGAAAAGGCCCAAGCAACUGUUUACCAAAAACACAGGUCUAUGCUAAAUCGAAAGAUGACGUAUAUGGGCUGACGCCUGCCCGGUGCCGGAAGGUUAAGAGGAGAUGUCAGCGCAAGCGAAGCAUUGAAUUGAAGCCCCGGUAAACGGCGGCCGUAACUAUAACGGUCCUAAGGUAGCGAAAUUCCUUGUCAGGUAAGUUCUGACCCGCACGAAAGGCGUAAUGAUUUGGGCACUGUCUCAACAGCCCGCCCGGCGAAAUUGUAGUACUGGUGAAGAUACCAGUUACCCGCAACUAGACGGAAAGACCCCAUGGAGCUUUACUGCAGCUUAAUACUGGAAUUCGGUAACCCAUGUACAGGAUAGGUGGGAGGCUUGGAAGCAGGGGCGUCAGCUCUUGUGGAGCCGCCGGUGGGAUACCACUCUUGGAUUGCUGAAUUUCUAACCUGCGGCCGUGAAUCCGGUCGGGGGACACUGUUAGGCGGGCAGUUUGACUGGGGCGGUCGCCUCCUAAAGAGUAACGGAGGCGCUCAAAGGUUGGCUCAGCACGGACGGAAAUCGUGCAGUGAGUGUAAACGUAGAAGCCAGCCUAACUGCGAGACCGACGGGUCGAGCAGUAACGAAAGUUGGAGUUAGUGAUCCGGUGGUAUGUGAGUGGAAAUGCCAUCGCUCAACGGAUAAAAGCUACCCUGGGGAUAACAGGCUGAUCUCCCCCAAGCGUCCACAGCGACGGGGAGGUUUGGCACCUCGAUGUCGGCUCGUCACAUCCUGGGGCUGAAUUCGGUCCCAAGGGUUCGGCUGUUCGCCGAUUAAAGUGGCACGCGAGCUGGGUUCAGAACGUCGUGAGACAGUUCGGUCCCUAUCUGUUGCGGGCGUAAGAGAUUUGAAGGGAGCUGUCCUUAGUACGAGAGGACCGGGAUGGACGUACCUCUGGUGCACCAGUUGUCCUGCCAAGGGCAUAGCUGGGUAGCUAAGUACGGACGAGAUAAACGCUGAAAGCAUCUAAGCGUGAAACUCCCCCUAAGAUGAGAUCUCUCACCUCGAAAGAGGGUAAGGGCCCAGGAAGACUACCUGGU
rnacentral:rRNA from 1 species